rnacentral:ribozyme from 1 species
CCGUGGGCUGUGCGGCGGGUACAACAACUACGC